rnacentral:rRNA from 1 species
CAAUAGCGUAUAUUAAAGUUGUUGCAGUUAAAAAGCUCGUAGUUGGACCUUGGACCUGGACAGGCGGUCCGCCUCACGGCGAGUACUGUCUUGCUGGGUCUUUCCUCUUGGUGAUCUGUUGUUUCGGCAGCAGGGAACCAGGACCUUUACUUUGAAAAAAUUAGAGUGUUCAAAGCAGGCUCGACGCCGGAAUAUAUUAGCAUGGAAUAAUAAAAUAGGACGUGCGGUUCUAUUUUGUUGGUUUUUGGAAUCGCCGUAAUGAUUAAUAGGGACAGUCGGGGGCAUUAGUACUCACAUGCUAGAGGUGAAAUUCUUGGAUUUUGUGAAGACUAACUUCUGCGAAAGCAUUUGCCAAGGAUGUUUUCAUUNA